AAAUACUGCCGCUUAACGGUAGAAUUGCCAUUGAAACUAGGAAUCUUGAGUGUGGUUGAGGUAGCCGGAAUGUGUUAGUGUAACGGUGAAAUGCGUAGAUAUUACACAGAACACCGAUUGCGGAGGCAGCUUACUAAGCCAUAACUGACGCUGAGGCACGAAAGCGUGGGGAGCGAACAGGAUUAGAUACCCUGGUAGUCCACGCUGUAAACGAUGUUCACUCGCUGUUUGCGAUACACAGUAAGCGGCUGAGCGAAAGCAUUAAGUGAACCACCUGGGGAGUACGAUCGCAAGGUUGAAACCCAAAGGAAUUGACGGGGGCCCGCACAAGCGGAGGAACAUGUGGUUUAAUUCGAUGAUACGCGAGGAACCUUACCUGGGCUUAAAUGUAGACUGCAUAGGAUGGAAACAUUCUUUCCCUUCGGGGCUGUUUACAAGGUGCUGCAUGGUUGUCGUCAGCUCGUGCCGUGAGGUGUCGGGUUAAGUCCCAUAACGAGCGCAACCCUUACCGUUAGUUGCCAACAGGUCAAGCUGGGGACUCUAGCGGGACUGCCACCGUAAGGUGAGAGGAAGGUGGGGAUGACGUCAAAUCAGCACGGCCCUUAUGUCCAGGGCUACACACGUGUUACAAUGGCCGGUACAGAGGGCAGCUACCACGCAAGUGGGUGCCAAUCCCGAAAGCCGGUCCCAGUUCGGAUUGGAGUCUGCAACCCGACUUCAUGAAGUUGGAUUCGCUAGUAAUCGCGCAUCAGCCAUGGCGCGGUGAAUACGUUCCCGGGCCUUGUACACACCGCCCGUCAAACCAUGGGAGCUGGGGGUGCCUGAAGUCUGUGACCGUUAAGGAGCGGCCUAAGGGUAAAACCAGUGACUGGGGU
rnacentral:rRNA from 1 species